ACUCCUACGGGAGGCAGCAGUGAGGAAUUUUGGUCAAUGGACGCAAGUCUGAACCAGCCAUGUCGCGUGAAGGAGGACGGCCCUAAGCGUUGUAAACUUCUUUUGCAGUGGAAUAAAGUUUGCCACGUGUUGGCGAUUUGCAAGUACGCUGCGAAUAAGGAUCGGCUAACUCCGUGCCAGCAGCCGCGGUAAUACGGAGGAUCCAGGCGUUAUCCGGAUUUAUUGGGUUUAAAGGGUGCGCAGGCGGGGAAUUAGGUCGGCGGUGAAAUUUCGGGGCUCAACCUCGACAGUGCCGUUGAAACCGUUUCUCCUGAGUGCGGAUGAGGUAGGCGGAAUUUGUGGUGUAGCGGUGAAAUGCGUAGAUAUCACAAGGAACACCGAUUGCGGAGGCAGCUUACUAAACCGUUACUGACGCUCAUGCACGAAGGCGUGGGGAUCAAACAGGAUUAGAUACCCUGGUAGUC
rnacentral:rRNA from 1 species